UCCGGUUGAUCCCGCCGGACCUGACUGCUAUCGGAUUGAUACUAAGCCAUGCGAGUCAUUGUAGCAAUACAAGGCAUACGGCUCAGUAACGCGUAGUCAACCUAACCUAUGGACGGGAAUAACCUCGGGAAACUGAGAAUAAUGCCCGAUAGAACAUUAUGCCUGGAAUGGCUUAUGUUCCAAAUGAUUUAUCGCCGUAGGAUGGGACUGCGGCCUAUCAGUUUGUUGGUGAGGUAAUGGCCCACCAAGACUAUUACAGGUACGGGCUCUGAGAGGAGUAGCCCGGAGAUGGGUACUGAGACACGGACCCAGGCCCUAUGGGGCGCAGCAGGCGAGAAAACUUUGCAAUGUGCGAAAGCACGACAAGGUUAAUCCGAGUGAUUUGUGCUAAACGAAUCUUUUGUUAGUCCUAGAACCACUAACGAAUAAGGGGUGGGCAAGUUCUGGUGUCAGCCGCCGCGGUAAAACCAGCACCUCAAGUGGUCAGGAUGAUUAUUGGGCCUAAAGCAUCCGUAGCCGGCUCUGUAAGUUUUCGGUUAAAUCUGUACGCUUAACGUACAGGCUGCCGGGAAUACUGCAGAGCUAGGGAGUGGGAGAGGUAGACGGUACUCGGUAGGAAGUGGUAAAAUGCUUUGAUCUAUCGAUGACCACCUGUGGCGAAGGCGGUCUACCAGAACACGUCCGACGGUGAGGGAUGAAAGCUGGGGGAGCAAACCGGAUUAGAUACCCGGGUAGUCCCAGCUGUAAACUAUGCAAACUCAGUGAUGCAUUGGCUUGUGGCCAAUGCAGUGCUGCAGGGAAGCCGUUAAGUUUGCCGCCUGGGAAGUACGUACGCAAGUAUGAAACUUAAAGGAAUUGGCGGGGGAGCACCACAAGGGGUGAAGCCUGCGGUUCAAUUGGAUUCAACGCCGGA
rnacentral:rRNA from 1 species